GUGUCUGUGUAUAUGCGUGUUUGUCAGUGUGUAUCUCUGUGUAUCUGCAUGUGUGUCAGGGUAUGUAUCUAUAAGUGUCAGUGUAUGUAUCUAUAUGUGUGUCAGGGUAUGUAUCUGUGGUUCAAGGUAUGUAACAGUAUGUAUGUAUCUGCAUGUGUGUCAGUGUCUAUAUCUAUGUCCGCGUCUGUAUCUGCUGUUUGUGUGUCAAUGUAUCUGUAUGUCAGUGUGGG